UCCACACCCAACCCCAAACUCUAGCCGCCAGAACCCUCGCCGGAGAAGACGACCCAGCCACCAGAGGAACGGGCCGCUGCACUAGAGGAUUUUCUGGCUGUCAAACGAGGUAAAAUUUCUCUCAUUGGCUCGUUUUUCGAUGCUGAACCUCCCUGUGGCCAAAUCGGAGCCAAACCACUGGUCGAUUGGCCGAAAAACACCGUCAAAGUCCAGCGGCGCCACUGCGGGUUUCUUCAGUUUUUGCCUCCGAUGAGGCCCUUUCCAGUUCCCGUUCGAUGUAAUUUUUAUACCACUGUGACCACCAUCCUUUUCUCUACAGGUUGACCGGAGCAAAAUACCAAAUCGCAACUCACGUCGGAGGAGCCACCGUACCCAAGAGCUUCGCCGCCAGUAAGUCUCGGUUUUCUGGAAUUUUUUGGCCUACCGAGGGCCCU
rnacentral:lncRNA from 1 species